CCGAAUUGUCAAACGGGUUGUUGCUGGCCCUUGAAAGGGGGCACGUGCACGCUCUGUUUACACAUCCACUCACACCUGUGCACCCUCUGUAGUUCUAUGGUCUGGGGGACCCUGUCCUCCUGCUGUGGUUCUACGUCUUUACACACACGCUGUAAUAAAGUCUUAUGGAAUGUAUACCGCGUCUAACGCAAUAAAAUA
rnacentral:misc_RNA from 1 species